rnacentral:rRNA from 1 species
UACGAAGGGGGGCUAGCGUUGCUCGGAAUCACUGGGCGUAAAGGGUGCGUAGGCGGGUCUUUAAGUCAGGGGUGAAAUCCUGGAGCUCAACUCCAGAACUGCCUUUGAUACUGAAGAUCUUGAGUUCGGGAGAGGUGAGUGGAACUGCGAGUGUAGAGGUGAAAUUCGUAGAUAUUCGCAAGAACACCAGUGGCGAAGGCGGCUCACUGGCCCGAUACUGACGCUGAGGCACGAAAGCGUGGGGAGCAAACAGGAUUAGAAUCA